UACGGAGGGUGCAAGCGUUAUCCGGAUUCACUGGGCUUAAAGGGCGCGUGGGCGGGCUGGUAAGUCAGUGGUGAAAUCUCCAGGCUUAACUUGGAAACUGCCAUUGAUACUAUCAGUCUUGAAUACCGUAGAGGUCAGCGGAAUAUGUCAUGUAGCGGUGAAAUGCUUAGAUAUGACAUAGAACACCAAUUGCGAAGGCAGCUGGCUACACGAAUAUUGACACUGAUGCGCGAAAGCGUGGGGAGCAAACAGG
rnacentral:rRNA from 1 species